rnacentral:rRNA from 1 species
GUAUCUAAUCCUGUUCGCUACCCACGCUUUCGCACCUCAGUGUCAGUACAGAUCCAGGAGGCUGCCUUCGCCAUUGGUAUUCUUCACAAUAUCUACGCAUUCCACCGCUACACUGUGAAUUCUACCUCCCUCUAUCGUACUCUAGUGAAUCAGUUUUGGAUGCAGUUCCCAGGUUGAGCCCGGGGAUUUCACACCCAACUUAAUAAACCACCUACGCGCGCUUUACGCCCAGUAAUUCCGAUUAACGCUUGGACCUUCCGUAUUACCGCGGCUGCUGGCACGGAAUUAGCCGGUCCUUAUUCUGAUGGUAAUGUCACGGUCAUUGGGUAUUAACCAAUAACUUUUCUUCCCAACUUAAAGUGCUUUACAACCCUAGGGCCUUCUUCACACACGCGGUAUGGCUGGAUCAGGCUUUCGCCCAUUGUCCAAUAUUCCCCACUGCUGCCUCCCGUAGGAGUCUGGGCCGUGUCUCAGUCCCAAUGUGGCGGAUCGUCCUCUCAGACCCGCUAAAGAUCGUAGCCUUGGUGAGCCUUUACCUCACCAACAAGCUAAUCUUACGCAGGCUCAUCUAGUAGCGAAAGCUCCAAAGAGAGGCCUUCUUUCUCCCGAAGGAGGUAUACGGUAUUAAUCCGAGUUUCCUCGGGCUAUCCCCUUCUACUAGGUAGAUUCCUACGCGUUACUCACCCGUCCGCCGCUCUACUCAUAUCCGAAGAUACUUUCUCGCACGACUUGCAUGUGUUAAGCCUACCGCCAGCGUUCAAUCUGAGCCAGGAUCAAACUCU